AGUGUCGGAACACUUCCGGUUUGUGUCUCGAUUGUUCUACUCUCUGCAGGUUAUUCUGAGCCUACUAAUCACUGCAGGAGGGCUUUGAAACUCGAGAGGGGAUUUUAUUAUUAUUAUCAUUAUUUUUUAUUGAUAAGAGGUGCUUAACUACAAAGAGCCCUCUUCUGUAGACAUUCUGGUCCCCCCAGUCAUGCUGGGGACAGUGUUCAUGUGUAGGUGUGGUCCAGACCUGAGACGCCUCUACCAAGCCACACACUGGAGCAGAAGGCGAAAUGGGUCCUAAGGAUCUCUCGGUUCCGGAGGAAAACCCUCUAGAAGAGGGAUGAAAAGGAAGGAAGUAGAAAGAAUGCUGGGCACAGAAGUGUGAGCACUUGAGUACUCCUCACAACUCUCUGAGA
rnacentral:lncRNA from 1 species